AACGAACGCUGGCGGCAUGCCUAACACAUGCAAGUCGAACGAGACCUUCGGGUCUAGUGGCGCACGGGUGCGUAACGCGUGGGAACCUGCCCUUAGGUUCGGAAUAACUCCCCGAAAGGGGUGCUAAUACCGGAUAAUGUCUUCGGACCAAAGAUUUAUCGCCUUUGGAUGGGCCCGCGUUGGAUUAGCUAGUUGGUAGGGUAAAAGCCUACCAAGGCGACGAUCCAUAGCUGGUCUGAGAGGAUGAUCAGCCACACUGGGACUGAGGCACGGCCCAGACUCCUACGGGAGGCAGCAGUGGGGAAUAUUGGACAAUGGGCGAAAGCCUGAUCCAGCAAUGCCGCGUGAGUGAUGAAGGCCUUAGGGCUGUAAAGCUCUUUUACCCGGGAUGAUAAUGACAGUACCGGGAGAAUAAGCGCCGGCUAACUCCGUG
rnacentral:rRNA from 1 species